rnacentral:rRNA from 1 species
AUUGAACGCUGGCGGCAGGCCUAACACAUGCAAGUCGAGCGGAGCGGCAGACGGGUGAGUAAUGCCUAGGAAUCUGCAUGGUAGUGGGGGAUAACGUCCGGAAACGGGCGCUAAUACCGCAUACUAUCAGAUGAGCCUAGGUCGGAUUAGCUAGUUGGUGGGGUAAAGGGCUACCAAGGGGACGAUCCGUAACCGGUCUAAGAGGAUGAUCAGUCACACUGGAACUGAGACACGGUCCAGACUCCUACGGUAGUGAGCAGUGGGGAAUAUUGGACAAUGGGCGAAAGCCUGAUCCAGCCAUGCCGCGUGUGUGAAGAAAGUCUUCGGAUGUUAAAGCACUUUAAGUUGGGAGGCGUUACCAACAGAAUAAGCACCGGCUAACUUCGUGCCAGCAGCGGCGGUAAUAC